rnacentral:rRNA from 1 species
UACGUAGGGUGCAAGCGUUGUCCGGAAUUAUUGGGCGUAAAGCGCUCGUAGGCGGUCUGUCGCGUCGGCUGUGAAAUCCCGAGGCUCAACCUCGGGUCUGCAGUCGAUACGGGCAAACUAGAGUAUUGCAGGGGAGACUGGAAUUCCUGGUGUAGCGGUGAAAUGCGCAGAUAUCAGGAGGAACACCGGCGGCGAAGGCGGGUCUCUGGGCCUGACCUGACGCUGAGGAGCGAAAGCGUGGGGAGCGAACGGG